GGAGAUGCAAGUUGUCUCAUCAAGAAAAUGCAGCUGGUGGAUGCAGGAGUCAAAGCUUAUUUUUCCAAAAGCAUCCUCUAAUGCCACUGUACAUUGAGACGCUUUGAAUAUUCAGUCUGAAAAACAAUGCCCACAUUUUUCAGAGCUGCUGAGCAUCUCUGGAUCCCACCUGAGAGGACCAGAUCUGCAGGCCCUGACCACCCUCCAAAACGCCAGGGUAAGCUCCAGCUAAACCAUGUUUCCUGCAGACAGACAUCAUUGCCCAGUGACUUUUUUGUUGCUGAUUCCACGUGGAAACAAACAUCCCUGCAGAGCACUGUGCAAGACGAGAGACUCAGUAAUGGACUAAGCUGGAGACAAACAGAGACUACCUGCAGUAAAGACAGAUGCUUCUGGCACCAAGCCAGUGCUCAGACAACUUUCCCCUUUUUAUUGACUUCUGUUUCCAACAAUGGAGUUGAUCACAUUCCAAAUUGGGACUCCUGUGAACUUUACAGACACAGGAAAUUUAAGGCUUUUUGUAUUGUUAGGAAGUCAUUUACUUUUUAUCACGCAUCACAUAAGAUCUGGUCUACCUCUGGGACUGCAGCUCCUGAAAGGCAGAAAUACAUCACGAAUGCCUGAAGAUGCAUCACUGCCUGUGCCCAAAGACAACACCAUCUCAGCUUGAGUGACCUUCUAUGCACCCAUCCUCCACUGAGGCCACCUGAGAGUCCAGAGAGGCCCAGGGGUCCCAUGCCUACGUCUUGUGGGACUGAUAGGAGAGACGUUCUGGAGGCAUGCCUGGGAUGUUCCCACAUGUCUGAAUCCUCAGGGGACGUACACAGGUGAUAGGGAUCCCCUCUGCCAAUGUUCCAGCACAUUCUGUGUAAAACCCAGCCCAAGCAGGUGGCAAGGCAGAGCAAUGGGGCCACCCAGUUGCACUGUCCAAUGCACUACGCUCCCCAAAGAGAAGAUCAGCCUGCACCUUGGACCACAGAGUAUCUCCCGUUGGACCUCCCCACACUCACCCAGCACUACUGCCUAUCAGGAGGCAUGGUGACCUUUUCUUAUCUGGCAAGAGGGCUGGUGACCUCCCUCCUGCAGACAGGAGACUCUCUGAGGAAGUGUUGGCUUGAAUCUACCCAGGAUGAGCAGGGAUUUGGACCUGCACCUUGGUCCUGAAGCUCUGGCCAACAGCACAGAGACAGCCCUGGCUUUCCCUUCCAACUCCUGCCUGACCACACGAGUGAGGCAGCUUUCUCUACCUAAGUGCAGAGCUUGUCUACAAGCACAAGAGGAGACUGCAGGCUCUGGAAAUGAAUUUCACAAAUAAGCCUAUUUCUAGGACACGGGCCAAAUUGGAGAUGUGUUCUUCUUGUCAGUAGUGACCACGUAAUUAAUUCUUCCCCUUAUCAAAUGUGCAUUAUGCUGGCUUUCCUGCAGCCUGCUGUUGGAUCCCACUGCUGUUCCCUGCAACAACAUUGGCACAUGCAGUUUGGAAUCAUGAAUUCUGCUCUUGGCACCUGACUUUAAGAAAAUCACAGAAGGGAGCAUCACAAACUUAAAUUAUUUAUUUAUGUAUUUUUAAAUUUUUGUGAUAGGCCUGUGAAAACAUAGGGUUUGUACUUCUGAAAUGUGUAUCUUUCUUUUUUUUUUUUUUAUAACUUAUGAAAGAGAGAAAUGUAUCCACACCUUCUUUAAUGUUUGUGUUCUAUUAAAAAAUGAAAUCCUGAAGCUCUUUUUAAAAGUUUUUUUUUUUCUUUCUUUCUUGAUUUUACUUUCUAAUCUUCCUGUAUUUUGAUGAUGAUUUUCAAAAGCAAUGUGUGUUUUUUCCCAACUUCAUUUCUGGUGGCCCAAAAUGAGGAAUCACUAAUGUUCAAAGUGUUUGAACCUAAAAACUAAGGUGACAGGGUAAAGCCACUGGUAGUUGCCAAUUACCCUUGCACACUCUGCACAUCAUGGCCUUUCAUUUUUCCCGCUUUUGCUACAGAUCUAAGUGGAAAAGUAGAGCACUGGAGUGGGAGACUAUUGCAGCUUCCCCCAAAAUGCUUGCCAGGGGCUCCUGCUCAUUUACUCAAUUGUAUUUUUUUAGGGGGUGAGAAGAGGGGAGGGAGGGGGAUUGUGAGAAUCUCAGUUUCUCAGAAAAGACAAGGCUUUAUUGUUUUAUGUAAACCUAGCAGAAAAAGGUUAAUAGCCUAAUUUUGGAGGGGAAAGAAGUAUUUUUCAGGCCUUCAUAAAACCCAAGAUGCUGAAAGGCACACAUUUGAAACAGCUGUGAAAAAGUUUUUCUUCAUGUGAAAACAGUAAAGGCAAUCCUUUGUUUUUCCCUCUGCAUAUCAAUCUGUGAAGGACAGAAAACUGCAACUGGCAUCUUUGAGGACCGCAUUGCACCAGCUAAUAAACUUGUUUCUGUUCUUAGCA
rnacentral:lncRNA from 1 species